rnacentral:rRNA from 1 species
AUUGAACGCUGGCGGCAGGCUUAACACAUGCAAGUCGAGCGAGCGGCGGACGGGUUAGUAAUGUCUGGGAAACUGCCUGAUGGAGGGGGAUAACUACUGGCAACCGUAGCUAAUACCUCCUACCCUCCGAUCUGCCCAGAUGGGAUUAGCUAGUAGGUGGGGUAAUGGCGCACCUGGGCGACGAUCCCUAGCUGGUCUGAGAGGAUGACCAGCCACACUGGAACUGAGACACGGUCCAGACUCCUACGGGAGGCAGCAGUGGGGAAUAUUGCACAAUGGGCGCAAGCCUGAUGCAGCCAUGCCGCGUGUGUGAAGAAGGCCUUCGGGUUGUAAAGCACUUUCAGCGGGGAGGCGGUACUCGCAGAAGAAGCACCGGCUAACUCCGUGCCAGCAGCCGCGGUAAUAC